rnacentral:rRNA from 1 species
GACGAACGCUGGCGGCGUGCCUAAUACAUGCAAGUAGAACGCAGUGGCGAACGGGUGAGUAACGCGUAGGUAACGUCCUUAUAGCGGGGGAUAAAGGUGGGAAACGAUAGGUAAUAACGCCUACUACGCGAUGGACGUAGGUUGGAUUAGCUAGUUGGUGGGGUAACGGCCCACCAAGGCAACGAUACAUAGCCAACCUUGGAGGGUGAUCGGCCACACUGGGACUGAGACACGGCCCAGACUCCUACGGGAGGCAGCAGUAGGGAAUCUUCGGCAAUGGACGGAAGUCUGACCGAGCAACGCCGCGUGAGUGAAGAAGGUUUUCGGAUCGUAAAGCUCUGUUGUAAGGGAAGCGGUACUUUACCAGAAAGGGACGGCUAACUACGUGCCAGCAGCCGCGGUAAUAC